GGAGGGUGCAAGCAUUAAUCGGAAUUAUUGGGCGUAAAGGGCGCGUAGGCGGAUUAGUAAGUCAGAUGUGAAAUACCGAGGGCUUAACCUCGGUGCUGCAUCCGAAACUACUAAUCUAGAGGAUAGACGGAGAAAACGGAAUUCCAAGUGUAGCGGUGAAAUGUGUGGAUAUUUGGAAGAACACCUGUGGCGAAAGCGGUUUUCUAGUUUAUUCCUGACGCUGAGGCGCGAGAGCAAGGGGAGCAAACAGGAUUAGAUACCCUGGUAGUCCUUGCCGUAAACGAUGUAUACUUGAUGUAGUUGGAUUCAACCCUGACUGUGUCGUAGCUAACGCGAUAAGUAUACCGCCUGAGGAGUACGCUCGCAAGGGUG
rnacentral:rRNA from 1 species